rnacentral:hammerhead_ribozyme from 1 species
AUCCAACCGACGAGUCCAAAAUAGGACGAAACGCUGUUCCUGGAA